AGUCACUGACAUUAGAUACCCCCGUAGUCCCAGCCGUAAACAAUGUGCGUUAGGUGUGUCGGUAACCACGUGUUACUGAUGCGCCGAAGAGAAAUCGUGAAACGCACCACCUGGGAAGUACGGUCGCAAGGCUGAAACUUAAAGGAAUUGGCGGGGGAGCACCGCAACGGGAGGAGCGUGCGGUUCAAUUGGAUUCAACGCCGGAAAUCUUACCGGGACCGACAGCAACAUGAAGGCCAGGCUGAAGACUUUGCCGGAUUAGCUG
rnacentral:rRNA from 1 species